GCCCUGGUUGAUUAAUGGAAAUCGCCCCCACACCCCUUAUACAGUUGCUUGAGCAGAUUUGUGUAGGAGACGGAGGUUCGAAUCCUCCCCGGGGCA